rnacentral:lncRNA from 1 species
AUGAGGAGUCCAGGAGCCAGUGGAAAGUUGAAGCUAAUCUGGUGUGAACCAAUGUGGCUAUAUUUUCUGCAGGCAGAGGUGAGUGAGCCACUCUGUUUAUUUUCUUGCAGAAGCCAUAGAAGUCCAGCAGUGGGAAUUGAGAAAAUCAUCGAACACUGUUGCUCCUGCGGUCGAUGUAUUAUUUUUAGCACCACCAACAUCUUCGGAUGACGAAGAGUAUUAUACACCCAUAAAAAGAAAGAAGAGGAGGAAAAAGAGGAGGCGCUAUUACUAAGCGAAAGCCUCCAUUAUUGCUCCAGUAAGUACAGCACACCUAGAGGCUUCAGGAACUUGAAAAGCAUUGAAAGGGUUUAGGGGGAGUGCACAGAGAAACAGAAACAGAGACAGACGUUCUGAGCCUCCAGUUUACCAGGAUAAAGAAUUGCUGUAUCAAAACCUUGUAGAGUUGUCAGGAGAUAUUGAGAAAAGAAGGAUGGAUGCAGGGUGGGGGGCUGAUGGUGAGGGGGUUGGGGUUUGGAAGGACAAUGUUAACAAGAUAGAACAGCAGUCUGAGGUACAAAUCCCAAGGUGGGAAGGACUCUGGCAUCCAAGGAAACGAUCAGAACAUGGAAAGUCCCCAUGGAGGGUUUCUUACUUAGGGUCACCAUUGCUGUGAUGAACACCGUACAGAACUUGGGAAGGACAGGGUUUAUUUGCCUUACAUAUCCUUAAUCACAGACCGUUGAGAGAAGCCAAUUCAGGAACUCAAACAGUGAUGGAACCUGGGGGCAACACUGAUGCAGAGGCCAUAGAGGACUCCUGCUUACUAUUCCUUAAUGGCUUAUACAGCCCACUUUCUUAUAGAAUACAGGAUCAUGAGCCUAUGGAUGGCCCCAAACACAAUAUGCUGAGCCCUCUCACAUCAAUCACUAAUUAAGAAAAUGACCUGUAAGCUUGCCUCCAGCCUGGUCUUGUAGAGGCAAUUUCUCCACGGAGGCACCCUCCUCUCAGAUGACUUUAGCUUGUGCCAAGUUGACGUUAAAAAUAGCCAAGACUAAGGUCAUGAGAGUAGAAGGCAAAUACAUAAGUCAUGAAGUACCAUGAGGUUGGUGGUACUAAUAAUGUCAAAGAAUAUAUAAAUGGCAUCAAGAGUCAGAGUGGGGAAGUAAGGCUGAA